GGGCGGAUGGCGGAAUUGGUAGACGCACCACACUCAAAAUGUGGCGACCUUACGGUCGUGGGAGUUCGAGUCUCCCCCCGCCCA
rnacentral:tRNA from 5 species